rnacentral:rRNA from 1 species
AUUGAACGCUGGCGGCAGGCCUAACACAUGCAAGUCGAGCGAGCGGCGGACGGGUGAGUAAUGUCUGGGAAACUGCCUGAUGGAGGGGGAUAACUACUGGAAACGGUAGCUCAUACCGCAUACCAUCAGAUGUGCCCAGAUGGGAUUAGCGGGUAGGGGGGGUAACGGCUCACCUAGGCGACGAUCCCUAGCUGGGCUGAGUGGAUUACCAGCCACACUGGAACUGAGACACGGGCCAGGCUCCUACGGGAGGCAGCAGUGGGGAAUAUUGCACAAUGGGCGCAAGCCUGAUGCAGCCAUGCCGCGGGUGGGAAGAAGGCCUUCGGGUUGUAAAGCACUUUCAGCGGGGAGGCGUUACCCGCAGAAGAAGCACCGGCUAACUCCGUGCCAGCAGCCGCGGUAAUUC